GACAGAAGGCCCACAGAUUUCUGCAGCUGAGAUCCCUGAACAAGACUAAAACUGGGUCUCCCUGUGUUUUCAGCUUCUGGAAGCUACCUUCUUAUAAACACUGUUUUCUUAUUUAAGCUAAGCAGAACUCCUAUCUGUUGGCCGAAGUUCAAGAACUCUGGGAGUAUGGUAAUACUACCACUAACAGCAAGAAGAGCUAAGAGUAAUGCAUUAAUUUGCCAGAAGGUUACUUCAGUGCAGUAACUUCCUGGGAGGAUCACAUUAUCUACUUUUCUGCUCUGUGAGGAUUGAAAUACUCUCCAGCUGAGUACAAAAUAAAACUUCAGACUCGGCCUGACAUCACACUACCGUGAAGGCUGAUGCUGCACCGUUUCAUAUCACCAGGAAGCUCGAAAGAAAGAUGAUGUCAGAAAGAAGCCACCUACUUACAAAUGGUCAGGGGGAAAAAACCGCUUCAGUGACCAGGCUCUGCCCAGAACAACCCUGGACAGUAAACUGAACAUGCAAGACGUUCUCUGGGAGACUGGAUAACCAAAGCGGGAAAAGUAAGUAUAAUAUUCCAAGAUGGUCCUUUAUGAACUAGAAUUUUAAUAUCUAGGGAAAACUACCCGUUAACUUUUAUCUACCCAAACCAAAUACAAUUUUUAAAAUUUUAUCUUAAAACGAGUAUCGAGACAAGAACAUAGUAGCACAGUCCAGUUGAGUAACUCUGGCAGAGCCUAUCUUUCCAAACUGACAAUGAUUAUCUUGCCAGGGAUAGAUAAGAAAGUUGAAAGGGAGAACACAAGUAAACAUUCACCAAACACAACCCCAGUGAAGAAAGAGCUACCAGAUGCAAGAAAAUAAACACUAUAAAGAUAAAAUGAAGCACUUCCAGCAAGUUCAAGGAAUCAGAAAAUAAAAUAAUAAAAAUAAUAAUAACAAUAACGAUUAGACAAAGACCCAGUUGGUUGAGGCUUAGAUCCUGGAGAUCAAAGACCUUCAGGCUCCCAUCAGAAUGAAUGAGGACACAUUACACUCUAUUCUAAGCCGCUCAAUGGCCGUGGUCCAUCUUAUCCAGCAAUCCCCCAGUGGAAUCCAGCUCUUAGGGAAGGGGGGAGAGAUGGAUAAGGACUCAGUGCAAACAGUGCAGAGCUUGUCUCACAUUAAGCAAAUUCAUGAGACUAAAUAGACUCUUUUGUUACUGCCUCAAAAAGAGGUAAAUAGCAUGCGAGUUUGGUUAACCCACGGAAUUCAGUAAGUUAGAACUUUCAGGCAACGAGGACAUCGUUCACGUUCCCUUGAAGAUUUAGGAACUCACCUAGGGCAUGGCUACAACUCCGGCAGGAUUCUGUUAGACUGACAAUUAUUUGCUGCAGAUCAGCUCUGGGGGGAGUAGGAGAAGGGUUGGGGUUUUUCCAGCCAUUACAUUUACAAGACUCCUCGGCCUAAAAAAGGAAUAGAGAAAAUCAUGUAACAAGCAGCAAUGGACUCAACAUUUUAUGUGACAUCAAUACACACUAGUUACAGGACAGCUAUCCUCCCCGCUCCUGACUUUGUAACUUUCGACAUAUGCACAAGAAACAAAAACAGAGAAAAAGGCAAAGGGAGUGUUUGAUCCAGGCAUUUUGUGUUUUUGUAGUUUUUUUGUUUGUUUCUUUUCUGCUGGCUGGAAUGUGAGUGCUGCAGCUCAGACAGCAGACCCAUACACUUUGGUACCAUUGCCCCAAGCAAAUGUCCAUGGAGUGGUCAGUUCCUAGGGAAUCCAUGCAGAAAGCUUCCCAAGGCAACAAGCCAGAUUCCUGAGGUACCUGGAACACAGCCGGGGCCUUGGCCAUGAUUGAGCCUUGCAGGUUCGAAGGCGCCCCCGCUGCAACUCUGUCCCAAGGACCAGAAAGGAAACCCGCGAAACUGAGGAAGUUAGCAACCUUAAGGACUUGAGGAGGGACACGCCCAGGGGAAGCCACAUUUGCUGGCUUCCAAGUCCUUCCAAGUAGGCUCCAGCUUUAGAAAGAGAGAGGGUCUCACCGUGUAGUCUGGGAUUUCUACCUGUGAUAUUUCUGAGGUUUCCUGAACUGCAACACUAUUAUUUAUUAUUUUGGCAACACUUACUAGAUAUCUUCCAUACUCUCCACAUUCCCCUACCUUCUUUGACAACAGUGAAUACAAUCUAGCCUUUUUAUAGUGACUUGGGUUAUAAAAUGUAGGACGAGGGAUAGAAAGAUAUCAACUAUUUUCAAAUGUAAAAAUAGCAUGAAACAUAGCUGGCUGAUUGCGGGUGAGAGCCUUCUAUGUACACUGUCCAAUAUGUAACCACUAGCCACAUGUGACUGUUGAGCACUUGAAAUGUAGCUAGUCCAAACUGAAAUGUGCUGCAGAUUUAUAUACCAGAUUUAAAACACUAAUGCAAAAAUAAAAUAUCGCAUUAUUAAUGUUCACACUGGUUACAUGUUGAAACAUUAAUAUUUUAGGUGCAUGGAGUUAAAUAAAAGAUAUUAAAAUUCA